UACGAAGGGGGCUAGCGUUAAUCGGAAUUACUGGGCGUAAAGCGUGCGCAGGCGGUUCUAUAAGACAGAUGUGAAAUCCCCGGGCUCAACCUGGGAACUGCAUUUGUGACUGUAGAGCUGGAGUGCGGCAGAGGGGGAUGGAAUUCCGCGUGUAGCAGUGAAAUGCGUAGAUAUGCGGAGGAACACCGAUGGCGAAGGCAAUCCCCUGGGCCUGCACUGACGCUCAUGCACGAAAGCGUGGGGAGCAAACAGG
rnacentral:rRNA from 1 species